UUUCCCUCUAAUACCAGGUAUGGUACCCUCACGUUGUGGCAGAGUACCACUCUCUGCACUCUCAGCCAUUCCAUGACAAACCAAAGUACUACAGUACACUUAUGGAGGCUUGGAAGGCUUAAUAUUAGGUAUUCUCCAAGUAUAUGUUUAGUGGUUACCGUAGAGCCACAGCAUUGCUCACAACGCAUGGCCCUUUAAAGGUCUUUAAAUAGAUGGAACGGGAAUAGGAGACAAG